rnacentral:rRNA from 1 species
UCGGGGUUCCCCGACGCGGCCAACUUCCGGUUCCUCGCGUCCCUCAACCUGCGCUCCGUCGUGUACCUGUGCCCGGAGCCGUACCCGGAACAGAACGCGCGGUUCCUGGGGCGCAGCGGGAUCAAGCUCCACCACUUCGGAAUCCAGGGCCGCAAGGAACUGUUUGUCGGCAUCCCCGAAGAAAUGAUCCGCGAGGCGCUCAAAGUCAUCCUUGACGUAAGAAACCAUCCGGUGCUCAUCCACUGCAAGAGAGGCAAGCACCGUACCGGCUGCGUGGUGGGCUGCCUGAGGAAGCUGCAGAAGUGGCGCCUGUCCUCCGUCUUGGACGAGUACCUGCACUUCGCGGCGGCCAAGGCCAGGAAAACCGACCAGAGGUUCAUGGAGCUCUUCGACACGUCAAGCUUGGUGCAUCUGCUGGCCUCGCAGUGUUGA